rnacentral:misc_RNA from 1 species
GACUUUUCCUCACUUGUUAGGCUGCUUGGAGAAGUAUUUGUACAUAUUUGGAAGUAUGCUGAUUGAGAUAGAUUACGUCCUCUGGGUGAUGGAGUACGUGUAAUCAUGGAGAUGUCAACUGGUUAACGUGUUAUGGUCUAUUAGGUACCUCUAGGGUGUCCGAGUGAUUUGUAGUGUGCAUAUUUUUAGCCCAUGUUACCCUUAUUGCUUGAGCUGCACUUAUUUAAUGCCGGAAGUAUGUUGGUUCAAUCUAUGAUGGAAAAUUAUCAAUGGAUCCCUGCAAUUAAACCAUGAAUUGCUUAGCUGUAAAGAUUUUAAUAAGGUGGCAUUUGAAGAGAGGAAGUAUUGGAUGGUUGGGGAGUUGUAGGUAUUCACUGGAAUGAUUUCAGAUACUCCUGUUCAUAUAUUCUGUUUACAGGACUGUGAUGUUCCCUGCAAUUCACCAUGAAGUGCUAAGCUGUAAAGAUUUCUAUAAGGUGGCAUUUGUAGAGAGGAAGUAUUGGAGGGUUGGGGAGUUGUAGGAAUUCACCGGAAUGAUUUCAGAUACUCCUGUU